rnacentral:rRNA from 1 species
AAUUACAAGCGAAAGCAUAAAAUUCAAAGGACUUGACGGUACUUCACAUCAACCUAGAGGAGCCUGUCCUAUAAUCGAUAACCCACGUUUUACCUCACCUACUCUUGCAAGACCAGCCUGUAUACCGCCGUCGCCAGCCCAUCUAAUGAUAGAAUAAAAAUGGACAAAACUGUAUAACUACAAAAACGUCAGGUCAAGGUGCAGCUAAUGAGUGGGCUGAGAUGGGCUACAUUUUUUAAAUUAAAAACUACUACAAGCAACAUGAAACACUGAGCUACCAAGAUGGAUUUAGUAGUAAAUAUGUGCAAGACAUGCCAUAUUGAAACCCGUUCUGAAGUGCGUACACACCGCC